AUUGAACGCUGGCGGCAUGCCUUACACAUGCAAGUCGAACGGUAACAGGUCUUCGGAUGCUGACGAGUGGCGAACGGGUGAGUAAUACAUCGGAACGUGCCCGAGAGUGGGGGAUAACGAAGCGAAAGCUUUGCUAAUACCGCAUACGAUCUCAGGAUGAAAGCAGGGGACCGCAAGGCCUUGCGCUCACGGAGCGGCCGAUGGCAGAUUAGGUAGUUGGUGGGAUAAAAGCUUACCAAGCCGACGAUCUGUAGCUGGUCUGAGAGGACGACCAGCCACACUGGGACUGAGACACGGCCCAGACUCCUACGGGAGGCAGCAGUGGGGAAUUUUGGACAAUGGGCGCAAGCCUGAUCCAGCCAUGCCGCGUGCAGGAUGAAGGCCUUCGGGUUGUAAACUGCUUUUGUACGGAACGAAAAGACGCUGGUUAAUACCUGGGGUCCAUGACGGUACCGUAAGAAUAAGCACCGGCUAACUACGUGCCAGCAGCCGCCGCGGUAA
rnacentral:rRNA from 1 species